rnacentral:rRNA from 1 species
GGAGUUUGGACCGUCUCUCAGUUCCAAUGUGGCCGAUCACCCUCUCAGGUCGGCUACCGAUCGUCGACUUGGUGGGCCGUUACCUCACCAACUAUCUAAUCGGACGCGAACUCACCCCAAACCCGGUUGCCCGUUUUACCCCUGGACCAUGCGACCCUGUGGUCUUAUGCGGUAUUAGCACCUGUUUCCAAGUGUUAUCCCCUGUCUGGGACAGAUUGUUCACGCGUUACUCACCCGUCCGCCACUGGAAUUACAGACCUUCCGGCCGAAGCCUUCCGUUCCGUAAUCCCCGUUCGACUUGCAUGUGUUAAGCACGCCGCCAGCGUUCGUCCUCGAGCCAUGAUCAAACUCU